GAUCCUGUUGCAGCGUCGUUCUUCCUGGCCAGUCGAGCGUGCACAAGACUCAUCCCUUUCAUCCUCCAUGGUCUACAAGAGGAUGUCUCCCCACCAACCCUGCUAGGCCUCCCUACUUCCUGGGGCCUCAAGUAUCUUGAGAUAUCGAGUUUGAUCAGCACCAUUUGCUUAAAAUGCUGUCUUUAUUCCACUGUGUAUUUCUGGCUUCUUCCUCAAAAUGAAAGUGUCCAUAGAUACAGACAAACUGAAACAGCCAGAUUCUUGGGAAUGAACAACUACUACAUGUGUACAUAGACUCUUUAUCCAUGGAGACAUCUUACUUAUCCUGGUCUGAAUAGAAGUUCACAUGUGAAUCUACAGAAAAAUUAAUCACAAAAGCAGGGAGUUCGUGGGGACUGUGUACCAAAUCCAGAUGUUUCAUCACUGAACUAUGCUUUCAGCAUGCAAGUACCUAUAUUGAAACAGCAAUUACUGAGCAAAAGAUGAGAUUCAAAUACCUUAAAACAUAGCCCUAUAUUUUCAAAGAGUUCCCAUGACAUCCAAGGACAUGAGUUACGCCUGAGCCCAGCCUGACACCCAAGGCUGUCAAGGAGGAUCAAUGUUCCAGAGAUAA
rnacentral:lncRNA from 1 species